rnacentral:rRNA from 1 species
UGUAUUUAUUAGAUAAAAAACCAAUGCCCUUCGGGGCUUUUUGGUGAUUCAUGAUAACUUUACGGAUCGCAUAGCCUUGCGCUGGCGACGGUUCAUUCAAAUUUCUGCCCUAUCAACUUUCGAUGGUAAGGUAUUGGCUUACCAUGGUUUCAACGGGUAACGGGGAAUUAGGGUUCGAUUCCGGAGAGGGAGCCUGAGAAACGGCUACCACAUCCAAGGAAGGUAGCAGGCGCGCAAAUUACCCAAUCCCGACACGGGGAGGUAGUGACAAUAAAUACUGAUACAGGGCUCUUUUGGGUCUUGUAAUUGGAAUGAGUACAAUUUAAACCUCUUAACGAGGAACAAUUGGAGGGCAAGUCUGGUGCCAGCAGCCGCGGUAAUUCCAGCUCCAAUAGCGUAUAUUAAAGUUGUUGCAGUUAAAAAGCUCGUAGUUGAAACUUGGGCCUGGCUGGCGGGUCCGCCUCACCGCGUGCACUCGUCCGGCCGGGCCUUCCUUCUGAAGAACCUCAUGCCCUUCACUGGGCGUGCUGGGGAACCAGG